AACGAACGCUGGCGGCAUGCCUAACACAUGCAAGUCGAACGAGACCUUCGGGUCUAGUGGCGCACGGGUGCGUAACGCGUGGGAACCUGCCCUUAGGUUCGGAAUAACUCCCCGAAAGGGGUGCUAAUACCGGAUAAUGUCUUCGGACCAAAGAUUUAUCGCCUUUGGAUGGGCCCGCGUUGGAUUAGCUGGUUGGUAGGGUAAAAGCCUACCAAGGCGACGAUCCAUAGCUGGUCUGAGAGGAUGAUCAGCCACACUGGGACUGAGACACGGCCCAGACUCCUACGGGAGGCAGCAGUGGGGGAUAUUGGACAGUGGGCGACAGCAUGAUCCAGCAAUGCCGCGUGAGUGAUGAAGGCCGUAGGGUUGUACAGCUCUUUUACCCGGGAUGAUAAUGACGGUACCGGGAGAAUAAGCUCCGGCUAACUCCGUG
rnacentral:rRNA from 1 species